rnacentral:rRNA from 1 species
GAUGAACGCUGGCGGCGUGCUUAACACAUGCAAGUCGAACGAUGAAGCCCAGCUUGCUGGGUGGAUUAGUGGCGAACGGGUGAGUAACACGUGAGUAACCUGCCCUUAACUCUGGGAUAAGCCUGGGAAACUGGGUCUAAUACCGGAUAGGAGCGUCCACCGCAUGGUGGGUGUUGGAAAGAUUUAUCGGUUUUGGAUGGACUCGCGGCCUAUCAGCUUGUUGGUGAGGUAAUGGCUCACCAAGGCGACGACGGGUAGCCGGCCUGAGAGGGUGACCGGCGACACGGGGACUGAGACACGGCCCAGACGCCUACGGGGGGCAGCAGUGGGGAAUAUUGCACAAUGGGCGCAAGCCUGAUGCAGAGACGCCGCGUGAGGGAUGACGGCCUUCGGGGUGUAAACCUCUUUCAGUAGGGAAGAAGCGAAAGUGACGGUACCUGCAGAAGAAGCACCGGCUAACUACGUG